rnacentral:rRNA from 1 species
CACGUAGGAGGCGAGCGUUGUCCGGAAUCAUUGGGCGUAAAGAGCGCGCAGGCGGCUUGGCAAGUCGGGUGUGAAAUCCCGGGGCUCAACCCCGUGACUGCAUCCGAUACUGUCAGGCUAGAGGUAGGUAGGGGAGAUCGGAAUUCCUGGUGUAGCGGUGAAAUGCGCAGAUAUCAGGAGGAACACCGGUGGCGAAGGCGGUCUCUGG